ACUCUCCAGGCUUGGUACUGCACAGAACAGACAUUGUGACAUAUAUCUAGGCAAAUUGCCUAGAAGUGAAUCCCCUCUCCUGCUUAAGUCCUUCCCACAGAGAGCGGUUUGAUAUGUCACUGAAACCAGCAUCCAGGUGGUAUUGCUCCAUAUGCCUGAGACCCUAACAAAAGCCUAAUUACAACUCAUAUGCCUGGAGCCAGGACAUGUGCAGGAUGGUGAUGUAACUUUCCUCUCUGGAAUGGGUCCUGCACAAAGGAAUGAUAGUAACAUAUUGCAAAGCCAGACACACAGGGAAAUUUUGACCUAUUGCACCCAGAUGAUGUUACUCUUCUGAUAGAGUCCUGAAAAAAGAGGGAAUUAUUGCAUACUGGUGGGCCCAGCUGCUGAUGAUGCUACAGUCCUUCCUGUGCCAGAGCCACAGACAGUAUUUUGACAUAAUUUCGGCCCAUUUGCCAUGAUGGUCCAAGUUAUAUUGGGAUUCAGCCAAUAGAAGAUAUUUUGCCUGUCAUCCCUAAGCUUAGGACAAUAGGGUCCUGCCCACAAGAAAGAUUGUGACAUCUCACUGGACAAGCACCCACCCAGACUCUGCCAAGAGAGGGGAUUAUUACAUAUUGCAGAGCCCAGCACCUAGGUGGAGUGACUCUCAUCUUUUUCUUCUACCCCGUAUAUAGCCAGCUUGGUGACCUACUAUUUGAGUCUAUACCCAGGCCCAGACCACAGAUGAAAUUGUGCAAUAUGUGGAACAAACACCUAAACAAUAUAUAACACCUUCCUUGGCUCUGUCUACAAAGGGCACUUUUAUAUAUCACUGGGACCAUCAACCAGGUGAUAUAACCCUCUUCUCUGGAAUGGGCCCCACACAAAGGAAGGAUAGUGACAUAUUGCAAGCCCAGGCACACAGGCCCAGAGCACAGUUGAAAUUGUGACAUAUGUACACCAAGCAACCAAGCAAUGUAUAACACCUCAUUUGGCAAUGGAAUCGAGGGCACUUUUACAUAUCACUGAGACCAGCGCCCAGCUGAUGUGAAAUAUUGGCCUGAACCCUGCCUACAAAAGCAUUGUGGCUUUUAUCUAGCUCCAUUACAUAAGUGAUGUGACUUCCUUCUACUGCCUUGGCCCUGCACUUAUGGUGAAUCGUGACACAAAAUUGGGUAGAGCAACCAGCCUGGGCCCUGACCAGCACAGAGAUUGAGGCAUAUUGCUGAACCCAGGACCAAGAUGAAGUCACUCUCCUGCCUUGAUCCUGCACACAGGGACCCUUGUGACAUAUAUACAGGCCAAUUGCCUAGGUGAUGUUGUGCAAUAUACCUGAGACCA
rnacentral:lncRNA from 1 species